UUACUGUAGGGAAGUUUUAUCGCUGUGUUCCCUUACUACACAUUGAAGGAGAGCGAUGUCAAAUGUGUAGACAGUCA
rnacentral:sRNA from 19 species